GCAUUAGCACAAUAGUUUAAUGGAUUCAUUAAUGAAAUAUUUGUCAUAGUUUGACGCUGGCUGGCAACCUAACGCAACCCUCCUCCUUUAUCCGGGCUUGGGACCGGCCAUGACCGGUCAUCAUGGACGGAGUUAUUAAAAGUAAAUGGAACACAUCAGAAUGAAUUAUUGGUUAACUUUUUAUUUUGAGUUUGAUUCAUAAUUUAACUUUGGAGAUAUGUUAGUUUAGUUUAAAUAUAUUUAAUGACAAACUAAUGUCUAAAUAAUUAAUUUAAAUUCAUAGUUCAUAGCAAUAAAACCCGUGAAACUGUUUGAAACUUUCAAAAAUACAUUUGGAUGGGAAUAUUAACUCAAUUGGAAUUGGACUUUAGACGCAGCGGUUAGAGCACAAUGAGCUAAUAAUGCAUUAUGACAUUCGGAGGAGAUAAUGAUGCGCGCGCCAGUACAGUAUUUUUCUGCUUGCUUUUUUUUUAUCAGUUUUGAUUACAUGUAUUGAUAAUGGUCCGAUGUAUUGUUGUAUCACCCUUUGCACUACACUGACUUUUCAGUUAACGUUUAGUUUGCACUUAAUAGUAUGUUUGCAUGCUUUGGAGUUUAUAUUUGUUGCAAUCAGUUGUCUAUUGCAAUACAUUUAUGCAGAAGAGUCAUACUGAUUGUUAUUAUCGAAUUUGUUUAACAUUGCGACACAAGCUUUAUUCAGGAUUGGUCAUGACGAACCACCACCGUUCUAUUGUUGGAGCAUCCAUUUGUAAAAAGACCGCUGCAAGUCUAAAUUCAUCUUCAAUCAACAACGAGAAAUUAUUCAGUUAGAUGACAUUAGUGGCCUCAAAUACUCCAAGUGAAAUAAAGAUCUAUUUCCAAAGAAUGGAGUAAAUAGAGAACAAAUUAGGAAUAAUUGUUCUAUAGUUUAUAGAAUUGAUGUGAAAUAGCUGUUCUUACAUUUCUUCUUUGAGAAUGUUAUAAAGAAUAGAAGAACAGUCCAUCAUAGCUCUUCAGCUUUAGCAAUCUAUGGUUACAACUAUUGAGCAGUGUGUCAAGCACAUCGGGCAUGAUGCAUAGAAACAUCUCAAGAUUAGCUUGGGAGGAUACAUGCAUUUUCAUGGAAUAUAAUAUAUGAAUAUUGACUUAAUGUGUAUCUCUACGAUAUCUAUUAGUUUUUUAUGUUGUAAGAAAAAUAUUUAUGUAUUGUUUACAUCGGUGGAUAUUGACUUGGUGUGUUUAAAUAUAUCGGUGUAUUUUUAUUUGUAA